rnacentral:rRNA from 1 species
CCUACGGGAGGCAGCAGUGAGGAAUAUUGGUCAAUGGGCGGAAGCCUGAACCAGCCAAGUAGCGUGCAGGAUGACGGCCCUACGGGUUGUAAACUGCUUUUAUACGGGAAUAACGCGCCUUACGUGUAGGGCUUUGCAUGUACCUUAUGAAUAAGGACCGGCUAAUUCCGUGCCAGCAGCCGCGGUAAUACGGAAGGUCCGGGCGUUAUCCGGAUUUAUUGGGUUGAAGGGGAGCGUCGGCCGCAUGUCAAGCGUGCUGUGAAAUGUCCGGGCUCAACCGGGAACUUGCAGCGGGUACUGGCGGGCUGGAGUACACGGAAGGCAGGCGGAAUUCGUCGUGUAGCGGUGAAAUGCUUAGAUAUGACGAAGAACCCCGAUUGCGAAGGCAGCUUGCUGCAGCGGAACUGACGCUGAUGCUCGAAAGCGCGGGUAUCGAACAGGAUUAGAUACCCGAGUAGUC